GGGUGCGAUCAUACCAGCACUAAUGCACCGGAUCCCAUCAGAACUCCACAGCUAAGCGUGCCUGGGCGAGAGUAGUACUAGGAUGGGUGACCUCUUGGGAAGUCCUUGUGUUGCACCCC
rnacentral:rRNA from 1 species